AAACACUAAAACUCCUCCUUCUAGAAGCAUAUGGAACUUAUUAAAAUGGUGAUAUAUUGUAUAUUGUUUGGCGAGAUCAACAACUAGAUGCUGUCUUAUCAGGCCUUAGGCACAUUUAAAUUUAAGGUCUGAUUAAAAACAAAAAACUAAGCGCAAGAGCCAACCUCAAGUUUUCUGGGAGCUUGCUCAAGUUAUGCGGGUCAUAAAAUCUAAAUGCUGCUUCCCCAAUGUUUAGUUUUGACUUUGGGAAUAGAACGAAAACCAGAUGUCUCAGAUAAUCUUAGACUUUAGACAUCAGUGGAUCACAAAUGUGUUUUUGGUCUCUAACCAUUUAGUGCUUUGUAUACCAAUAGUAGUAUUUUAACAUCAAUGCUUUGCCACACAGGAAGCCAGUGUAAAUAUCUGGGAUAUCUUCUUUUUAAAGAAUCUAACUAAAGACAUAAUUACAGUGCACAACCCUACUGAAGACAGAUCCUUGCAAAAGUUUAUCCAAAAUCAUGCCAAGACACAAGCUUUUCAGUUCUUUAUAAUCAAUUAAUUUUGUAAAUGCCAAAUGUAGCUGCUGAAAUGUUCCUUUAGGUCCAUAAAUACACCAACACGCCAAGAUGUCAGCAUCUGAUGCACUGAGCAAUAACUUUUAAUCUUUGUGUUUAAAACAUUACUCUGCAUUUUGUUUUCAUUUAAUUUAAAAGAAUUAUGGUACAUCUUAAUUAUGUAUGAUGUAUUAAUCUGGGUUACACAAGAAAAAGCAGAUGUUUAACAAAAGUGGCCCCAGAAUGGAGCCUUGAGGAACUCCUCAUCAUAUAUUCUUGUACAAUGUCUAACUGUGCACUGUACAGGUCACACAAAGUAGUCCCUGUCCUUUAAUCAGUUAAUACAUCCCCACUCACUUUCACUGGUACGGUCCUUGUGUCCCUGUGCCUACCCGGUCGGCUCAGCAUGGCUACAUAUGUUUUUAUUUUCAUUUUUGUUCCUGCUCUCUCCCUUCCUCUCUUUCCCUCCUCCCUCGGCCUGGGCGGAGCUCACCUGUGGGCUCCUGCCCCUGACCAACGCACCUGUGGCUCAUCACGAGAGUGUUCCAGCUCCUUUAUAAGAUGGCAGCUCUGUGUCUCUCGUCGCUGGACCGUUGCCGACCCUCAUUCCCUGGACCCACCCCUGUGUUUUCUGAAGUGAUCGAGUGUGCGUAAGCCAUCGUGCUUUCUGUGGAGUGUGAAGAGGAGCGUGUGGAGUGGAUGGAGUGUGUGUGUGGACUUUCAGCGUCUUUCCCUUUCGUGUGUGGACCCCUGGAGUCUGGCCUUCCCCUCACCUUUGUAAAUAGAUCACCUGGUGUACUGUACUGUGAUGGCUGCAUUUACAGCCACACAGUGGUAAUAUUCACCAUGUUAGUGUAGAGGCUUAUAAGUAACAUUGCAUUCACAUUUGUCUUUCUUUAAAUAUAGGAAUUAAUUUACAGGACAAUAAAUAACUGGUUUUGGUUUAGAAUUAAUUCACAUAUCUACAUAACACUGCAUUCUAAAAUAAGUGCGCACAUUUUAGUUUACACUGUUAUGUAUGAUUAAUCUUUUGUUUUCUGAGUUACCUUAGUUGCAGCUGCUCCAGUCCCUUGAUUGAGGAGCCAAGAGGUGGAAAAGGGGCGGAGCGAGCUUUGAUGGAA